rnacentral:rRNA from 1 species
AACGAACGCUGGCGGCAGGCUUAACACAUGCAAGUCGAGCGCCCCGCAAGGGGAGCGGCAGACGGGUGAGUAACGCGUGGGAAUCUACCCAUCUCUACGGAAUAACUCAGGGAAACUUGUGCUAAUACCGUAUACGCCCUUUUGGGGAAAGAUUUAUCGGAGAUGGAUGAGCCCGCGUUGGAUUAGCUAGUUGGUGGGGUAAAGGCCUACCAAGGCGACGAUCCAUAGCUGGUCUGAGAGGACGAUCAGCCACAUUGGGACUGAGACACGGCCCAAACUCCUACGGGAGGCAGCAGUGGGGAAUAUUGGACAAUGGGCGCAAGCCUGAUCCAGCCAUGCCGCGUGAGUGAUGAAGGCCCUAGGGUUGUAAAGCUCUUUCACCGGAGAAGAUAAUGACGGUAUCCGGAGAAGAAGCCCCGGCUAACUUCGUGCCAGCAGCCGCUGUAA